rnacentral:rRNA from 1 species
AGUAAAAAGUAGAAUAAUAGAUUUGAAAUAUUUAUUAUAUAGAUUUAAAGAGAUAAUCAUGGAGUACAAUUAAGAAUAAAUUAUCUUAAAAAUAUUUUAAGUAAUAAUUUAUUAAUAAGUAAUAACUAUUAAUAGAAUUAGGUUACUAAUAAAUUAAUAACAAUUAAUUUUAAAACCUAAAGGUAAACCUUUAAUAUUAAUAAUAUAAUAAUAUUAUAUUAUUAAUAAUGUAAUAACUAAGUGAACUGAAACAUCUAAUUAACUUAAGGAGAGUAAAUCAACAGAGAUAUUAUGAGUAUUGGUGAGAGAAAAUAAUAUAGUCUAAUAAGUAUUAUGUAAUAAUUAUGUAAGAAAAUAGGAUAACAAAUUCUAAGACUAAAUACUAUUAAUAAGUAUAAAAAGUACCGUAAGGGAAAGUAUGAAAAUGAUUAUUUUAUAAGCAAUCAUGGAUAUAAUUUUAAUAUUAAUGAUGUACCUUUUGUAUAAUGGGUCAGCAAGUAAUUAAUAUUAGUAAAACAAUAAAGUUAUAAAUAAAUAGAAAAAAAUAUAUAUAUAAAAAAAUAUAUUCAAAUAUUUAAUUAAUAUUAAUUGACCCGAAAGCAAACGAUCUAACUAUGAUAAGAUGGGUAAACGAUCGAACAGGUUGAUGUUGCAAUAUCAUCUGAUUAAUUGUGGUUAGUAGUGAAAGACAAAUCUGGUUUGCAGAUAGCUGGUUUUCUAUGAAAUAUAUGUAAGUAUAGCCUUUAUAAAUAAUAAUUAUUAUAUAAUAUUAAAUAUAUUAUAUAAAGAACGGUACAGCAAUUAAUAUAUAUUAGGGAACUAUUAAAGUUUUAUUAAUAAUAUUAAAUCUCGAAAUGUUUAAUUAUAUAUAAUAAAGAGUCAGAUUAUGUGCGAUAAGGUAAAUAAUCAAAAGGGAAACAGCCCAGAUUAAGAUAUAAAGUUCCUAAUAAAUAAUAAGUGAAAAAAAUAUUAAAAUAUUAUAAUAUAAUCAGUUAAUGGGUUUGACAAUAACCAUUUUUUAAUGAACAUGUAACAAUGCACUGAUUUAUAAAAAAAAUAAUAUUAAAAAUCAAAUAUAUUAAUAUAUUUGUUAAUAGAUAAUAUACGGAUCUUAAUAAAUAAGAAUUAUUUAAUUUCAAGAAUAACAAUUUUUGAUAUACCAUAUUAAUAUAAUAUGUGUACUGAAUAUCUAAAUAUUAUUAUUAAUAAAUUUAUAAUAAUAAUAAUAUGGUAAUAGAACAUUUAAUGAAAAAAUAUAUUAGUUAUUAAUUAAUAUAUGUAUUAAUUAAAUAGAGAAUGCUGACAUGAGUAACGAAAAAAAGGUAUAAACCUUUUCACCUAAAACAUAAGGUUUAACUAUAAAAGUACGGCCCCUAAUAAAUAUUAAGAAUAAAAAUAUAUUUUAGAUGGGUUAAUCUAUAUUAAAAAAAUAAAAAUCUUAAAAUAUAUAUAUAUAUAUAAUAAUAUUUAUAUAUAUAUAUAAUUAUAUAAAUAAAUAAUAAUAUUAUUAUUAAUUUUUAUAUAAACUAAUAAAGAUCAGGAAAAUAUUAAUGUAUACCGUAAUGUAGACCGACUCAGGUAUGUAAGUAGAGAAUAUGAAGGUGAAUUAGAUAAUUAAAGGGAAGGAACUCGGCAAAAAUAGCUCAUAAGUUAGUCAAUAAAGAGUAAUAAGAACAAAGUUGUACAACUGUUUACUAAAAACACCGCACUUUGCAGAAACGAUAAGUUUAAGUAUAAGGUGUGAACUCUGCUCCAUGCUUAAUAUAUAAAUAAAAUUCUUUAACGAUAAUUUUAUUAAAUUUAGGUAAAUAGCAGCCUUAUUAUGAGGGUUAUAAUGUAGCGAAAUUCCUUGGCCUAUAAUUGAGGUCCCGCAUGAAUGACGUAAUGAUACAACAACUGUCUCCCCUUUAAGCUAAGUGAAAUUGAAAUCGUAGUGAAGAUGCUAUGUACCUUCAGCAAGACGGAAAGACCCUAUGCAGCUUUACUGUAAUUAGAUAGAUCGAAUUAUUGUUUAUUAUAUUCAGCAUAUUAAGUAAUCCUAAUAUUUUAUAAAAAUAUAGGUAAUCGUUUAGAUAUUAAUGAGAUACUUAUUAUAAUAUUAUGAUAAUUCUAAUCUUAUAAAAAAAAAUAAUAAUAAUUAUUUAUUAAUUUAUAUAUAUAUUUAUAUAUCUUUAUAUAUAAAUAAUUAUUUUUAUAACUUAAUAGAUAUAUUCUUAAGUAAAUAUAUAAUAUAUGUUUUAUAUAUUAUAUAUAUAUAUAUAAGAGACAAUCUCUAAUUGGUAGUUUUGAUGGGGCGUCAUUAUCAGCAAAAGUAUCUGAAUAAGUCCAUAAAUAAAUAUAUAAAAUUAUUAAAAAAUAAAUAAUAUAUAUUAUAUAUAUUAAUUAUAAAUUGAAAUAUAUUCCUUAUGUAUAUUAAUUUUAAUUAUAAAUUAUAUUAAUUUCAUAAGUAUAUAAAUAUUUAUUGAAUAUAUUUUAGUAAUAGAUAAGAAUAUGUACAGUAAAAUUGUUAGGAAAACAAUAAUAAUUUCUAUAAUAUAUAGAAGGAAUUAGAUUAAUAUAAUGGUAUAACUGUGCGAUAAUUGUAACACAAACAAGUGAAACAAGUACGUAAGUAUGGCAUAAUGAACAAAUAACACUGAUUGUAAAGGUUAUUGAUAACGAAUAAAAGUUACGCUAGGGAUAACAGGGUAAUAUAACGAAAGAGUAGAUAUUGUAAGUUAUGUUUGCCACCUCGAUGUCGACUCAACAUUUCCUCUUGGUUGUAAAAGCUAAGAAGGGUUUGACUGUUCGUCAAUUAAAAUGUUACGUGAGUUGGGUUAAAUACGAUGUGAAUCAGUAUGGUUCCUAUCUGCUGAAGGAAAUAUUAUCAAAUUAAAUCUCAUUAUUAGUACGCAAGGACCAUAAUGAAUCAACCUAUGGUGUAUCUAUUGAUAAUAAUAUAAUAUAUUAUUUUAUUUAUAAUUUUUAUAAAUUAUAAUAUAUUAUCUAUAUUAGUUUAUAUUUUAAUAAUUAUUAUUGUCAUAGUAGAUAAGCUAAGUUGAUAAUAAAUAAAUAUUGAAAACAUAUUAAAUAUGAAGUUGUUUUAAUAAGAUAAUUAAUCUGAUAAUUUUAUACUAAAAUUUAAAUGAAUAUUAUUUAAUUCUUAAUAAAUAAUAAUUAUAGGUUUUAUAUAUUUUUUAUAUAUAUAUAAUAUAUAUAAUAUUAAUAAAAUACUAAUUUAUCAGUUAUCUAUAUAAUAUCUAAUCUAUUAUUCUACAUAUU